rnacentral:lncRNA from 1 species
UUACUAUUAUUUUCCCAAAAAAAUGACACUCUCAUUCUAAGAAAGCUACAGUAUUUUGUAUAACAUGACGGCAUGCAUCUUGGGGUUUUACCAGCAUUCAAAAAGAAAGAGAAGAAGAGAGGAAAGAUCAAAGGAAGAAAGAAGAAAAGAUGGAUCUUUCUUACCUCGGUAGAGCAGAGGAUCCGACCUCUUUAUGAGCUCUUCCGUUCAACCUUGGUUCCCAGGACCCGUCGAGCCGCCGCGGUCGCCGUCGACGGGGAGGCCGAAGUUGUCGCACGGGGGAGGAGAGGGCAGAGGCGGAGGUCCGGAGGAGAGGGCUCGGGAGGCGAAGAAUCCGGAGGAGAGGAGAGGGGAGAGACUUGAGAGAGACUGAGGGAGGGAAUAGAGCUCGAG